rnacentral:rRNA from 1 species
AUUGAACGCUGGCGGCAGGCCUAACACAUGCAAGUCGAACGAGUGGCGGACAGGUGAGUAAUGUCUGUGAAACUGCCUGAGGGAGGGGGAUAACUGCUGUAAACGGUAGCUAAUACCACAUACCAUCUGAUGUUCCCAGAUGGGAUUAGCUAGUAGGUGGGGUAACGACUCACCUAGGCGACCAUCCCUAGCUGGUCUGAGAGGAUGACCAGCAACACUGCAACUGAGACACGGUCCAGACCACGUCGGGAGGGAGCAGAGGGGAAUAUUGCACAAUGGGCGCAAGCCUGAUGCAGCCAUGCCGAGUGUAUGAAGAAGGCCUUCGGGUUGUAAAGUACUUGCAGCGGGGUGGCGUUACCCGCAGAAGAAGCACCGGCUAACUCCGUGCCAGCAGCCGCGGUAAUAC